GUGUCUAGGUGAACAGAACCAGGGAGAGGCAGAAGUGACACUAGCCUCGUUGAGGAAUUUCUCUGCCUGUCACAACCCUACAGGACAAAGUCACCUGAGCUCCGAAGUACAUUUAGGGAGACUUCAAGAUCUUCUGCCCCUUACCCCAAGGAAACUGGCAGUUAUUCAAGGAAAACAACAGUAGAAUGCCCUGGAGUUGCAACAGUGCAGAACCUUCUGGUCUGUCCUUACCCAAAUGCACAAGCCAGAUAGAAAUGCAAAAGCAGUUUCUUAGCAGGAAGUGUAGAGCAGUUAAAUUCCUGGGGAAUUCAAGGCAAAGACCACUUGAUACCUUAAAGGAAGCUAAGAAUAAACAACUGUCCUUGACCCAGAUAAAAGCCAGAAUUUCAAUGCUUUGUUGGCUUGUUUGGAUUUAUGUUUUUAAGCGUCUUUCUGUUUCUGCUAAAUGGUGACAUUGUGCUUAGCACAGUAUGUAAGAUGAGGGAUAGAGAUAUGAAAUAUUAUAACCCAAGAUUCCACUUUUUGUUCUAGAACUUUCCAUAGAUAUUCUGUACUUGCUUUUAUAAGAAAAACUCUGAAGUACAUAAUACCCUGACCGAACUGAGGGAGGGAAUUUAAAAGUAAUAUGGACCUAGAAUUGCAGCUAAACUUUGUUUUAACCCAAAUAUAUUAUUGUCUUAUGAUUGUUUUACCGCUCCCAGAUAAUAUUAUAAAAAAUUGUAUGGUCCUACGUAAACUAGUCAACCCAAACUUUUGGCAAACUUUCAACGUUUCAAAUGAUUCUUGACCAAUAUGUGACCAUUUGAGAAUCACAAGAAAACACUGUCAGUCAACGCAACCAGUUGAGCUGAUGAAAGGCUAUGAGUCUAUGAUGCUCAAAGGGGAUAAAGGAUUUAAAGUGUGCUAGGAAAAACCAUACAGUCUGUGUAAAUCCGGUAAAUAGUCCUCAAGUUUGUUCAGAGACCAUAAUUUCCCUCUCCCAAUAGACGGGACCGGAAACUUGCUGACUGUGCAUUUGGUUCUAGAACCAAGAAAGCAGGACGUUAUUAACCAUGCCCUACCUAAACUUUCUAACCCAGGAAGACCCCACCCUGCAUGAGAUUGUCCCCCAGUCUGCAUAAAAUUGUCGCCAGACAUUAUGUGUCCCGGUCAGAGUAUCUGGAGAAACUACAACUGCUGACAUUUGCUGGGCUAGCUCACUUUCUUCUCUAAUUAAAGAUACCGGGUAAGUACAUGCAUUCACAGCCAAUACAGUCCAGAAUUUAACUUUAUAUUACAGUAGAUAUAAUUUGGUAUCUUCCUGCAAAUCCAAAACCCUAGAAUAAUGUACUUCUCAGGAACAAAAAUAAGGCUGACCCCAGUAUACACAGAGCUAUGGGGAGAGAAUUUUAUAUGCAGGAAAUGUACUUAUGGACUGUGAAGGAUGGUCUACUCUAUUCAAAUGUUCAUAAAACAUACUACCCAUGUAUUCUUUUUGAAAAAAAAAUUAUUUGCAGAGAAGCAUCAGCUGUUUGUGGAAGGCAUGAGAAUUAGGCUCUCAAGAAUUGGGAAAUGAAGCCGUAAAAGGACUAAUAAUUAGCUUUUCCAAAUCAAACAGCAGAUGAGUUUAAAAUAAUUCUGGCAGGGGCCCCUGGGUGGCUCAGUCGUGUCCAUGUUGGGUGCCCUGCUCAGCAGGGAGUCUGCUUCGCUCUCUCCCUCUGCUGCUCCCCCUGCUUGUGCUCUC
ensembl:lncRNA